CUUCGGGGUGAGCGGCGGACGGGUUAGUAACGCGUGGGAACGUACCCUUCUCUACGGAAUAGCCAUUGGAAACGAUGAGUAAUACCGUAUACGCCCUUUGGGGGAAAGAUUUAUCGGAGAAGGAUCGGCCCGCGCUAGAUUAGAUAGUUGGUGAGGUAAUGGCUCACCAAGUCUACGAUCUAUAGUUGGUUUGAGAAGAUGAGCAGCCACACUGGGACUGAGACACGGCCCAGACUCC
rnacentral:rRNA from 1 species